rnacentral:rRNA from 1 species
CAGCAGCCGCGGUAAUACGUAGGGUGCGAGCGUUAAUCGGAAUUACUGGGCGUAAAGCGUGCGCAGGCGGUUGUGUAAGACAGGUGUGAAAUCCCCGGGCUUAACCUGGGAACUGCGCUUGUGACUGCACAGCUAGAGUAUGGCAGAAGGGGGUGGGAUUCCACGUGUAGCAGUGAAAUGCGUAGAGAUGUGGAGGAACACCGAUGGCGAAGGCAGCCCCCUGGGCCAAUACUGACGCUCAUGCACGAAAGCGUGGGGAGCAAACAGGAUUAGAUACCCGAGUAGUCCCUGUCUCUUAUAC